rnacentral:rRNA from 1 species
AGCGAGCGGCGGAUGGGUGAGUAACACGCUGGGCGAACCUGCCCCUAAGUCUGGGAUACCAUUUGGAAACAGGUGCUAAUACCGGAUAAUGAAGCAGAUCGCAUGAUCAGCUUUUGAAAGGCGGCGUAAGCUGUCGCUAAGGGAUGGCCCCGCGGUGCAUUAGCUAGUUGGUAAGGUAACGGCUUACCAAGGCGACGAUGCAUAGCCGAGUUGAGAGACUGAUCGGCCACAUUGGGACUGAGACACGGCCCAAACUCCUACGGGAGGCAGCAGUAGGGAAUCUUCCACAAUGGACGCAAGUCUGAUGGAGCAACGCCGCGUGAGUGAAGAAGGUUUUCGGAUCGUAAAGCUCUGUUGUUGGUGAAGAAGGAUAGAGGUAGUAACUGGCCUUUAUUUGACGGUAAUCAACCAGAAAGUCACGGCUAACUACGUGCCAGCAGCCGCGGUAAUACGUAGGUGGCAAGCGUUGUCCGGAUUUAUUGGGCGUAAAGCGAGCGCAGGCGGAAAAAUAAGUCUAAUGUGAAAGCCCUCGGCUUAACCGAGGAACUGCAUCGGAAACUGUUUUUCUUGAGUGCAGAAGAGGAGAGUGGAACUCCUUGUGUAGCGGUGGAAUGCGUA